GCCGGGUUAGCUCAGUUGGUAGAGCAACUGAUUUGUAAUCAGUAGGUCGUCGGUUCGAUCCCGUCCCCCGGCUCCA
rnacentral:tRNA from 1 species